rnacentral:lncRNA from 1 species
AUGAGCCACAGCUACAGAAAUUCUUCAGGGAGUAUGUGUAGAGACUUCAAGCAGAAGUAUUCUGAGUACUCCGAGGCAAAUGGUAGAUACCUGACUCAAGUCAGGAAAAACAGUGUCUCUGUGCCCCUCUGUCUGCAUAUGUAUCAGAAUUUGAGUCUGGAGAAGAUGGACAAUGAUGGGGUAGGAAUGGCUGGAGCUCUUCCAUUCCAGUGAAGACUUCCUAGUACCUGUUUCAAGUGCAAACACUGUUGGCUUCCUCAUGGACUCUUGACGGAUGGACCGGAUGUAUGUUUUCCUACCCCAGAUGCUCUUUAAGAACACCGGCAAUGAGAUAGGGGAUUGUGUGCACCUGAAUCAGCAAUUCACUGAGUCUUAUUUGUCUCCUCUCUUGUUUAAAGAAUCAGUAGUGUAGUGCACAGAGCAACAAAAACUAGGCAGAAGGCUUUUUAUUUCUGUUAACAUAGAAAGAAGGCCAAUCUAAACACCUUUUUGAGUCACUUCUUUAUAAUUGUCCUGAGAUAAAUAUGACAUUACUGCCCUGAUUAUUCAUCGCCAAGAGACACAUUAGUGGAUAAUUAUCAGAACACAUGGCAAGAUCACAUCCAGUCAUAAAAUCCAUCCAUACAUUUUCUACAAGAUUUUCAAAGAUUUAAGAUGGAUCUUUUCCUAUAAAUUGAGAAAAAGAAAAAAAGAUUUUUUGUCAUGUGAAUAGAUAAUGUAUUAGAAAUGGGAAUGUUUCUUCUAUCUGAAUCAUUGUCCCCACCCUCCCUCAUUAGCUCCUACCAACUUCGAGGAUUCCAAAAUCCCAAACACAACUGACUCUUUUCAGGCUGAAGUUCCAUUGACUUUUGGCAAAAAGCAACUUCCUGGUUCAAAGAAAAAAGGCUUAUAAAAAAGCUCACAAGGCUUCUUAGACAUCAAAUGGGUCUUACGAAACCACAUUUUGAUGAGCUAAGUGUAAAUGAAUCAGAAACACAUGGAUUAAAUUUCCCUUGAAAUACACAUGGGUUUGAAAAUCAAGGAAAAAGUGUUUAGCCAAAUGUGUUUUGGGUUUCCUUGAACUGAAAACAUUUGAAAAAAGUGGAGGCAUUUGCUAAACCCUAAUACACUGUUGUGUUUGCUCAACCCUCCUCUAAAUCAAUUAAAUUUCCACGAGGCUUCCUUCAUUCCCUUGUGGUUUGCCUUGUCACCUCCGUCUUGACACUUUUUAGUCCAAACUAAAUUCCCAUUGAAAAAAUAGACUGUUGUUCUAGAUCUACUUAAAUAUGAAGUAGCUAUUAAAACACCCAGCAAAUCAAAGACAUUAAGGGAUAGAAAAGCACCCAUUAGGUCAUGUAUUCUAUCCUGAGGGUUGGAGCACAUGCACUCACGGCUCUCCUGUGCUUUAUCCAAUGUGGUUUUAAAAGUCUCAAGUGACAAGACUUCACCACCUCCCUUGGGAGAAUAGUGUGCAUUCUAAUAGAUUUUGCCAUUAGGAACUGUGCCUAAGUGUAUAACAGAGGCACAAUGGGAUGGCUGGCAGGAAAAUGGUAUUAUGGAUAAUUAACUCUUUCACUACUCCAUAUCAAUCACCUGUAGCAUGUUCAGCAACUGUAGCAUUUCAGGACUAAAGAAUAUGCCAGAUGUCUGUGUCCAUUACUAGUUUUCAUUUAAAAAAAAAUCCAAAGUUUGGUUAAUGGUAUAAAACUAUGCCUAUGGUAAUGUAAGAUUAAGCUUCACAAUGAAUUGAUUCAUCACAAUAAAACUGCGGAAUGUCAUUAAUUUAUUCUCUUG